GACACCCCAUAGACACCCCAUAGAUCCCAUAGACACCCCAUAGACCCCAUAGACUCCCAUAGACACACCACAGACCCCAUAGGUACCCCAUUCCCCCCAUUGCCCCUAUUAACCCCAUAGCCCCCAUUCCCCCCAUUACCCCAUUGCCCCCCCAUUGUUCCCGCGCAUGCGCAUUGGAUCAGCGCAAGCCCCGCCCCCUUCACCCAAGCCCCGCCCCUUUUCCCUCAGGCCCCGCCCCCUCUCUCUGAUUGGCUGAUACCGAAGGGGGCGGCUGUGCGCACGGCCCGCGUCACGCGCCCGCGCCUCCCCCCUCCACGUGACGCCGACCGCCCACGUGACCACGUGAGCGCGGCGCGAUGACGUCACGAGGCGGCGCCGGGCGGGUCACGUGGGCGUGAAAGCGAGGCACGAGCGCGCGGGCGGGAAACGGGGUGGCGGGAAAAGGAGACCCGGAGGGGGGGGAGGGGAACUUCCGGUUUGAGUGACACGUGGGCGGCCUACUUCCGGUUGGGGGCUGUGCGAGGGAUGAGAGCGGCGCUGGGCGCGCUGGCUGUGCUGCUGUUGCUCCGCUCCCCGUGUCGCCGUCUGACGGCGAUGGCGGCUCCCGAAGGAGCUUCGUACCAACACGGAAACGUCUCGGCUGCGUUCGUUACGUGUCCUAACGAGGACGUGGCCAAGAGGAUGGCACGAGCCAUGGUGGAGCAGAAGCUGGCGGCCUGUGUCAACAUCGUCCCCAAGGUCACAUCCAUGUGAGUUAUGGGGUCAUACAGGGGCACUAUGGGGGCAUAUGGGGGCAUAUAGGGGCAUAUAGGGGCACUAUGGGGUCAUAUAGGGGCAUAUAGAAGCAUAUAGGGGCACUAUGGGGUCAUAUAGGGGCAUAUCGGGGCACUAUGGGGUCAUAUAGGGGCACUAUGGGGUCAUAUAGGGGCAUAUAGGGGCACUAUGGGGUCAUAUAGGGGCAUAUAGGGGCACUAUGGGGUCAUAUAGGGACAUAUACGGGCACUAUGGGGUCAUAUAGGGGCACUAUGGGGUCAUAUAGAGGCAUAUAGGGGCACUAUGGGGUCAUAUAGGGGCAUAUGGGGGCACUAUGGGGUCAUAUAGGGGCACUAUGGGGUUGUUUGGGGUCAUACAGGGGCACUACGGGGGUAUAUGGGGGCAUAUAGGGGCACUAUGGGGUCAUAUAGGGGCAUAUAGGANGGGGCAUAUAGGGGCACUAUGGGGUCAUAUAGGGGCAUAUAGGAACACUAUGGGGUCAUAUAGGGGUAUAUAGGGGCACUAUGGGGUCAUAUAGGGGCAUAUAGGGGCACUAUGGGGUCAUAUAGGGGCAUAUAGGGGCACUAUGAGGGCAUAUGGGGGCAUAUAGGGGCACUAUGGAGUCAUAUAGGAGCACUAUGGGGUCAUAUAGGGUUCUAUAGUGCCACUAUGGGCUCAUAUAGGGCCACUAUGGGCUCAUAUAGGGUUCUAUAGUGCCACUAUGGGGUCAUAUAGGGGCAUAUAGGAGCAUAUAGGGGCACUAUGGGGUCAUAGAGGGGCAUAUAGGGGCACUAUGGGGUAAUAUAGGGGCAUAUAGGGGCACUAUGGGGGCAUAUAGGGGCAUAUAGGGGCACUAUGGAGUCAUAUAGGAGCACUAUGGGGUCAUAUAGGGUUCUAUAGUGCCACUAUGGGGUCAUAUAGGGCCACUAUGGGGUCAUAGAGGGGCAUAUAGGGGCAUAUAGGGGCACUAUGGGGUCAUGUAGGGUCAUUAUGGGGUCAU
ensembl:lncRNA